UGGUCUUACAGUAAGGGAAAAAAGUAGAGGAUGCAAGAGAGAGCAGCAAAGGAGAUAAAUCAAAGCUCUGAGGAAGUAAAAUAGACAGAAUCCUGAGCACAGGUAAUGGUGUUGGCCCAUGCAGGAGCAGUGACACACCAUGGUGACAGAAGAAUUCAUGUGGGCAUCUGAAGAGACAGGUUGGCAGGCUGGGUGGUGGGAAGAUCAUGGUGGGCUUGCCUUGCUGUUUUUGUUUUCAUGCAUUCACAGCCUGAUCAGCCAACUGUAUAUAAGCUGCACAAGAGAAAGUAUCUCUCAUCUAUGUGAUUCUCCCAUGGCCAACUUACUUUCAGCCAGAAUCAGCAAACACCUUUAUAAAGAGCACGUGCAGACCUGUUCAUAGGUGAUGACUUCAGCAUGCAUCUUUGAAGACUGAGACACUUCAUGCCCCAGUUCCCUAGGGAACUUGCUUUAGUGUCCUACUUUCUCUAAUUCCCCAACCUCCACAUGUGCUGUUUCCUCACUCUAGAAUAUUCUUCCCCACCUACAUUAGGUUGUUCAUACAGCACAGCCCCAAUCUUAGGAAAAGAUGUCCUAAGGCCCCAAGCUGAGUAUUGGGGAUAUGCUUAUUUACCACUGGAUGUCUUAUAUUUUAUGCCUCUUAAUGUGCCCACAUUCCAGAGCCUGCCUUGGAGCAGGACCUCUAAGAGUGCUUCAGCCCCAAAAGUGUCUUCAGUCACAGUUCCAUCGGCCCAAGUAGUCAAGAGGCUCUCUUCCAUGGUCCAUUGCUUUACCUUUGGAAGUUUCCUUACAGACCUUUGAGUGCAAUUCCUCAUUUUACUGGAUAAAGACUUGAAGCUAAAGGAGCUUGUUGUGCCAGAUCUGUGAGCCACUCAUCUCUGGCUGAGACUUGGAGACUGGGCUCAUGUCUGCUGAUCCUGUGCUCAUUUCUUUCCUGCUCCAGUAAACUCCACUGCCCUAAAGAAACAGAUGGAAGCAAAGCAGCCACUGCCCAAGUUCACAAAGAAGCCAUACUCACUGAGUAAUACCAGGCCAGUGGUCCCCACCCUGAGUCACUUAGGAGGACAUGUCACUCAAGGCAGUUACCAAGUGUCCAGCCAACCACAGGCAGUGUGCAGACCUUGCAUGGAGGAGAUUGGACCUAACCUUAGUUCCCACUCCACUCUCUCUCUACACACUGCGGCAACACCGAGGAAGCACUGCCUUCAAGGGCGGACAUCACGUGUCCUGAUCAGAGGAACUAUAGUUCCCCACCACUCCCACUGCCCACUUCAGUCCAUUUUGACAUCUGUCUGUUGCUGGAGUAAGUGGCAAUUCUGAAAUCAAAGCGUGAACUUUGAACAUUCGUUUCAAAAAACCAAAACUACCAAACAAAAGUAAUUUCAAAAUUAUUAUUUGUGGAAGAAGAAAAGGAUAGGACAGAGUUUGAAAGGGCCAAGAAGUACAUGUCAAUUACUAAAAACUGAUCCUGGAGUGCAAGUGCUAGCUUAUGGAGAUAUUCAAGGUUUCUGGGAGUCUGGCAGCCAUUUUGGUCCCACUUCUCAGUGACAUAAUAUGGCCAGUUAUGACCACUUGAAUCUCAGGCCACACUGGCAGCAAAUAGUAGGGCAUCCAGACUGCAAAUUCAAUGGUUCAAGACAUGGUAGAGGACUUGGUUAGUACCAGUGAAAUAGAUCCCUCUGUUUCAGUCAGCAGCAAAGGAGCCAGGGUCAUAACCUUCCACUCAGACCAUGGAAAGCUCCAUUUUCGCUCUCUGUGCUUUUUAGAGCUAUAAUGAAAAUGCUUCACAUACAG
rnacentral:lncRNA from 1 species